CGGACGGGUGAGUAACACGUGGAUAACCUACCUAUAAGACUGGGAUAACUUCGGGAAACCGGAGCUAAUACCGGAUAAUAUAUUGAACCGCAUGGUUCAAUAGUGAAAGACGGUUUUGCUGUCACUUAUAGAUGGAUCCGCGCCGCAUUAGCUAGUUGGUAAGGUAACUGCUUACCAAGGCAACGAUGCGUAGCCGACCUGAGAGGGUGAUCGGCCACACUGGAACUGAGACACGGUCCAG
rnacentral:rRNA from 1 species